UGGGGAAUUUUGGACAAUGGGCGAAAGCCUGAUCCAGCAAUGCCGCGUGUGUGAAGAAGGCCUUCGGGUUGUAAAGCACUUUUGUCCGGAAAGAAAUCCUUGGCUCUAAUACAGUCGGGGGAUGACGGUACCGGAAGAAUAAGCACCGGCUAACUACGUGCCAGCAGCCGCGGUAAUACGUAGGGUGCAAGCGUUAAUCGGAAUUACUGGGCGUAAAGCGUGCGCAGGCGGUUUGCUAAGACCGAUGUGAAAUCCCCGGGCUCAACCUGGGAACUGCAUUGGUGACUGGCAGGCUAGAGUAUGGCAGAGGGGGGUAGAAUUCCACGUGUAGCAGUGAAAUGCGUAGAGAUGUGGAGGAAUACCGAUGGCGAAGGCAGCCCCCUGGGCCAAUACUGACGCUCAUGCACGAAAAGCGCGGGGAGCAAAACAGGAUUAGAUACCCUGGUAGUCCACGCCCUAAAACGAUGUCAACUAGUUGUUGGGGAUUCAUUUCCUUAGUAACGUAGCUAACGCGUGAAGUUGACCGCCUGGGGAGUACGGUCGCAAGAUUAAAACUCAAAUGAAUUGACGGGGUCAUAGCUGUUUCCU
rnacentral:rRNA from 1 species